rnacentral:lncRNA from 1 species
GUUUUGGUUUGUCCUCAGGUUAAGAAGCUUCGUAUCCGAAAUCAUUUAACCAAGUGAGAGUAGUAGUGGAUGAUCGAUUGAUCGGUGUUGAACAUUUGCAGAUUGCCGGAAACACCGGAUGCAUUGCGAGAACUUGCGCUGCAACAGGAGUCAAACUUCAUCUCGUUGAGGUUUUAAAAUCUUAUUUAAGAAUUAAAACGAAUUAAAAGAAAAGACCCUAACUUUGAUUUCAGCCAUUAGGUUUCAAAAUCGACGAUACGAAGCUUAAACGUGCCGGAUUGGAUUACUGGCCGUAUGUCGUCUUUAAGAUCCACAGCUCUUGGUCAGAAUUUAGACGAUAUUUCUGCCAACAGGUAUAGAUCGG